rnacentral:misc_RNA from 1 species
AACGCACCUUGCACUCUUUGGUAUUCCGAAGAGUAUGUCUGUUUGAGUGUCAUGAAACUCUCAACCCCCCUGUUUUGUAAUGAGACAGGCUGUGGGCUUGGAUUAUGGUUGUCUGUCGGCUUGUUUAACAGGUCGGCUCAACUGAAAUACACGAGCUACCCAACUUUUGAAUUAGACGGCUUGACUCGGCGUAAUAAUCUAUUUCGCUGAGGACGUCUUGCUUUCAAAUUAAUAGUGGUGCUUCUAAUGCAUUAGAAAUAAUCUUUUAACUUUAGACCUCAAAUCAGUCAGGGCUACCCGCUGAACUUAA